UCGAGAAUCUUCCGCAAUGGACGAAAGUCUGACGGAGCGACGCCGCGUGGAGGAUGAAGUACUUCGGUACGUAAACUCCUUUUGCCAGGGAAAAAGUUAUUGAUUGUACCUGGAGAAUAAGAGGUUGCUAAACUCGUGCCAGCAGCAGCGGUAAUACGAGUGCCUCAAGCGUUAUCCGGAAUUAUUGGGCGUAAAGGGUGCGUAGGUGGUGAUGUUAGUCUUUUGUUAAAUCUCCCGGCUCAACCGGGAACUUGCAAGGGAAACGGCGUUACUUCGAGGACGGAAGGGGUCUCUGGAACUCAUGGUGUAGCGGUGAAAUGCGUUGAUAUCAUGGGGAACACCAAAAGCGAAGGCAAGAGACUGGUCCGCUCCUGACACUGAAGCACGAAAGCGUGGGUAGCGAAUGGG
rnacentral:rRNA from 1 species